UGGGGAAUAUUGCACAAUGGAGGGAACUCUGAUGCAGCGACGCCGCGUGAACGAAGAAGGCUUUCGAGUCGUAAAGUUCUUUUAUAUGGGAAGAUAAUGACGGUACCAUAAGAAAAAGCCCCGGCUAACUACGUGCCAGCAGCCGCGGUAAUACGUAGGGGGCUAGCGUUGUCCGGAAUCACUGGGCGUAAAGGGUUCGCAGGCGGAAAUGCAAGUCAGGUGUAAAAGGCAGUAGCUUAACUACUGUAAGCAUUUGAAACUGCAUAUCUUGAGAGGAGUAGAGGUAAGUGGAAUUUUUAGUGUAGCGGUGAAAUGCGUAGAUAUUAAAAAGAAUACCGGUGGCGAAGGCGACUUACUGGGCUCAUUCUGACGCUGAGGAACGAUAGCGUGGGUAGCAAACAGG
rnacentral:rRNA from 1 species